UGCGUAGUGUGCGCCCAGUGCAGUGUGAGGGGGUGGCGCAGGGGCUGGGGUGGAGGGAGUUCACGGUGUAGGAAAUAAAUAAGGUGGUUUUAUUACAAGCAGGGGUUUCCAUGGGUACCUCCUGUUGAGAUACCUAGAAGCCAUUUUGUUUGAAGAGCAGAUUCACCUUUGGUAGCUUUGAUUUGUCACUUGAAAUUCUGUUUUCUACAUGAAGAAGAUUAUCUUGAGCAUUACUUCAAGCCAAACUUAUGCAUGCAUAAAGGUCAGUACUUUGAAGGCUUCAAAGCCAGGGGCAGUGUGGCAUCACUAUAGUACUCUCAGCAUUGUGAAGACUAUAUUCCUGUGUGGAUCUGAUCCCAAGUCAGCGAAGUCCUGAUUCUGCACUGCGACACUCUAAGACCUGUGCAUGUGACUCGGUAUGGGCAUAAAGUUGGAAGUCUUUCAGAGCAUCCUGAUAUCCAUAUGAAAACAGUUUUCAAACAUAGGUGUCACUAUUUCACUGUGCUUGUUGGCCUAUUUAUCACUAUGUAGUGCUGGCUUUGUUUACCAAUAUGUACUUGCUGUUUCACUCAGACUUUCCAAUGGAAGAUUCUGCUGUUACCUGGUCAGGUUCAAAUUUGUCAUUUAAAUGUUUGGAAUAAAUGCAGAUUUCCAAAUCUGA